rnacentral:hammerhead_ribozyme from 1 species
ACCCAACUGACAAGUCCCAAAUAGGACGAAAAGCGCAUUGUGGAU